CUACGGGCGGCAGCAGUAAGGAAUAUUGCGCAAUGGAGGCAACUCUGACGCAGCCAUGCCGCGUGCAGGACUGAAGGCCUUAUGGGUCGUAAACUGCUUUUAUUUAGGAAUAAACUCUUGUACGUGUACGAGACUGAAGGUACUAAAUGAAUAAGCACCGGCUAACUCCGUGCCAGCAGCCGCGGUAAUACGGAGGGUGUAAGCGUUAUCCGGAUUUAUUGGGUUUAAAGGGUGCGCAGGCGGACUAUUAAGUCAGAGGUGAAAUCCCGGAGCUCAACUUCGGAACUGCAUUUGAUACUGGGAGUCUUGAAUACGGUUGAAGUAGGCGGAAUGUAGCAUGUAGCGGUGAAAUGCAUAGAGAUGCUACAGAACACCGAUCGCGAAGGCAGCUUACUAAGCCGAUAUUGACGCUCAGGCACGAAAGCGUGGGGAGCGAACAGGAUUAGAUACCCGUGUAGUC
rnacentral:rRNA from 1 species